GAAUGUCAAUUUUCUAGUAUGAGAAAUUAACGAUUUAAGUCCUUCUUAAAUGAGGCCAUUUACCCAUAGAGGGUGCCAGGCCCGUAUAACGUUAAUGAUUACUAGAUGGCAUUUCCAAAGAGUCGUGUUGCUUGAAAGUGCAGCACUAAGCGGGUGGUAAACUCCAUCUAAAACUAAAUAUAACCAUGAGACCGAUAGUAAACAAGUACCGUGAGGGAAAGUUGAAAAGAACUCUGAAUAGAGAGUUAAAUAGUACGUGAAACUGCUUAGAGGUUAAGCCCGAUGAACCUGAAUAUCUAGUAUAGAAAAUUCAUCAUUAUGAUUUUAAUGUUUUUAACAUUUUAAUAAUGGUGUGCAUUUUUUCUAUAAAGGACAUUGUAAUCUAUUAACAAAAACUUAAUUUAUCAUAAAGUCAAUUGCAGAAGUUUAUUCAAAUUAUUUUGUUUACAAUUUAACAUAGAAUAAAUGCUUUUGGUUUGAUAAAGUGUUGAUAGAUUUAUAAAUGUACAGUGCUUGAAUUAUAUAUAAUCUAUAACAGCAUAUUAAUUAUUAAUUAUUAUGUUUAUUAUAUGCACUUGUAUGAUUUACAAUGCGAAAGAUUCAGGAUACCUUCGGGACCCGUCUUGAAACACGGACCAAGGAGUCUAACAUAUUUGCAAGUUAUUGGGAAUAAAAACCUAAUAGCGAAAUAAACAUAACUUAUAAUAAUGGGAUUAGUUUUUAGUCUAUUUUUAGGCUAUUAAUUCAAUCCCGGGGCGUUCUAAAUAGUUAUGUAUGGUAAUAUUUAUAUUAUUUAUACCUCUAACUAGAGCGUACCUUGAGCAUAUAUGCUGUGACCCGAAAGAUGGUGAACUAUACUUGAUCAGGUUGAAGUCAGGGGAAACCCUGAUGGAAGACCGAAACAGUUCUGACGUGCAAAUCGAUUGUCAGAAUUGAGUAUAGGGGCGAAAGACCAAUCGAACCAUCUAGUAGCUGGUUCCCUCCGAAGUUUCCCUCAGGAUAGCUGGUGCAUUUAAAAAUUAUGUAAAAUAAUCUUAUCUGGUAAAGCGAAUGAUUAGAGGCCUUAGGGUCGAAACGAUCUUAACCUAUUCUCAAACUUUAAAUGGGUAAGAACCUCACCUUUCUUGGUAUGAAGGUUGUGGUUGUGAUAUAAUGUGCCCAGUGGGCCACUUUUGGUAAGCAGAACUGGCGCUGUGGGAUGAACCAAACGUAAUGUUACGGUGCCCAAAUUAACAACUCAUGCAGAUACCAUGAAA
rnacentral:rRNA from 1 species